rnacentral:tRNA from 1 species
GUGGGGUUAGGCGUCGUUGCGGGCUGACAGCUGACUUUUAAUCAGCUGGUCGUGGGUUCGAUACCCACCCCGCUCACCA